AUCCUUCACUAGGGGAGUCAUGAAUUUGGCUGAGAAAAGCAAUGAUAGCUUUGACCCUUAUUACCUGAUCUAGAUCAUACUAGCGUAGGGAAGUGAAGCGGGUGGAAU
rnacentral:ncRNA from 1 species